GUUUUGGGAUCCCUCUUGAUUACAGUUUCGGCUGUAGUUGAGACCCCUUAACAAUCAUGAAAUACCACUACUCUCAUCGUUUCUUUACUUACACGGUGAAAAGGAAAUUGGGAUAGUGUCUCUCUCUUCUGGACUUCGGUUCAGUAGCAGGAGGCCACCUAUCUCUAAAUUCUAGAGCCAAAUGUGGUUCCAUCCAUAUAUGCUCAAGACACCUAAUUGAAUCUUGUUCUUCGGGACUUGGUUGAAUUAAAGACUUGGGUUUGGUUGGUAGCCAAUGUGUAUCAGCAAUGAUACACAUAACCGCAUGAUCCUCGCCGUGGACAUUGUCAGGCGGGCAGUUUGACUGGGGCGGUACAUCUGUCAAAAGGUAACGCAGGUGUCCUAAGGCCAGCUCAGUGAGGCCAGAAACCUCACGUAGAGCAAAAGGGCAAAAGCUGGCUUGAUCCAGACUUUCAGUACGAAUACGGACCGCGAAAGCGGGGCCUAUCGAUCCUUUCGAUGAAUGAGAGUUUCAUCCGAGAGGUGUCAGAAAAGUUACCACAGGGAUAACUGGCUUGUGGCAGCCAAGCGUUCAUAGCGACGUUGCUUUUUGAUCCUUCGAUGUCG
rnacentral:rRNA from 1 species